rnacentral:rRNA from 1 species
GACGAACGCUGGCGGCGUGCCUAAUACAUGCAAGUUGAGCGCUGAAGGUUGGUACUUGUACCAACUGGAUGAGCAGCGAACGGGUGAGUAACGCGUGGGGAAUCUGCCUUUGAGCGGGGGACAACAUUUGGAAACGAAUGCUAAUACCGCAUAAAAACUUUAAACACAAGUUUUAAGUUUGAAAGAUGCAAUUGCAUCACUCAAAGAUGAUCCCGCGUUGUAUUAGCUAGUUGGUGAGGUAAAGGCUCACCAAGGCGAUGAUACAUAGCCGACCUGAGAGGGUGAUCGACCACAUUGGGACUGAGACACGGCCCAAACUCCUACGGGAGGCAGCAGUAGGGAAUCUUCGGCAAUGGACGAAAGUCUGACCGAGCAACGUCGCGUGAGUGAAGAAGGUUUUCGGAUCGUAAAACUCUGUUGGUAGAGAAGAACGUUGGUGAGAGUGGAAAGCUCAUCAAGUGACGGUAACUACCCAGAAAGGGACGGCUAACUACGUG